GAUGAACGCUGGCGGCGUGCUUAACACAUGCAAGUCGAACGGACAGAGAGGAGCUUGCUCCUCGAAGUUAGUGGCGGACGGGUGAGUAACGCGUGGGUAACCUGCCCUAUGCAGGGGGAUAACGUUUGGAAACGAACGCUAAUACCGCAUAAUCUAAUUUUUUCGCAUGAAGAGAUUAGCAAAGAUGUAUCGGCAUAGGAUGGACCCGCGUUGGAUUAGCUAGUUGGUGAGAUAAAAGCUCACCAAGGCGACGAUCCAUAGCCGGCCUGAGAGGGUGAACGGCCACACUGGGACUGAGACACGGCCCAGACUCCUACGGGAGGCAGCAGUGGGGAAUAUUGCACAAUGGGCGCAAGCCUGAUGCAGCGACGCCGCGUGAAGGAUGAAGGUUUUCGGAUCGUAAACUUCUAUCAGCAGGGAAGAAACCAAUGACGGUACCUGACUAAGAAGCCCCGGCUAACUACGUGCCAGCAGCCGCCGUAAAC
rnacentral:rRNA from 1 species